AAACCAUGAUUUGGAGACCGCUGCAAACACUCCUUGAAUCUCUCCCAAGCCUCAUAUAAUAGCUCCCCCAGAAGCUGUUUGAACACAUAGAUUUUACUAUGGAUUUC